AACCGCACAGCCCGCUCCCUUUGUUUCAUUGACUUUCCUGAAUGAAACCCCAGGGCCCGGCCCUCCCACCAAUCCGGAGGCUCGCUCUCCGAGCCGGGGGCGGAGCUUCCCAGCCGCGGAGCCAAUCAUACGGUAGGGGCUGGCUCUGGGUUUCAUUCACGUCUUGGGCUCCCAUUCAUAAAAAAAUGAACUCCUUGCGACCGGAGUUCAUUCAUAAAGAUCCUAGGGAAAAGGAGCGAAGUUGAGAGCCCCGCAGCUCUUCUGCGGCGCUCGGCGUCUGCCCCGGCGCAAGGCGCGGGCGUGGGCAUACGUCUGCUGCGUCUGUGUGCAGGGGGAGUGUGAACGUGUCUGUGUGCGCGCCUCGGCAGGGUGGGGGCAGGGAGCGCGUGCCCAGAGGAGCCGUAAUAACUGGCAUUUAUGAAACUCCGGCUUCCACGUGCUCGUUUCGUUCCCACAGCCGGGUGCGGCCGUUCUAUUGUUUCCAUUUUACAGAUCAUGCAGGAAAGCUCGGAGGGGACCCAAGUCCUCCGAGCUCCUUCAGUCCCAAGAGCCCCUCGAGGCUGCGGUCGUGUAUUCACAGCGCUGUGACCCCCGUGCGUGCACAGUAUGUGCUCAGUAAAUGCGAAGGCACGGAAGCCAGGCCUGCCCUUUGGGGCCUGUGCUUAGCAGAGCCGCUCUGUGACCCGCUUUCUCCUGAUUGGCAAGGUCUGAGAGUAACUCAGCCGUCUUCCCUCCUCCCUGAAACCCCAGGGGUCCUGAGAGCAAAGCCCCAAGUUCUGGUGUCUUGGGCUUGGUGGGUUCGGCCCAGGCCCGAGGCUGGGCCCGGUCUCCCCCACCUCAUGCACUCAUCGCUGCCUCCAGUGACGACUGAUCACGCCAGACACGGAACCGAGCGGCAGACAGGCGGGCAGGUGGGCAGGCAGGUAGCCAUGCCCAGCUUCUGACGUCCGGACCCGGGUCCCUGCCUUUCCAAAGACGCCCAGGGUUCCUGCUUCCUGCUAACUGCGCUGUCAGCUACAGGCUUUGCAAAGCCGGCCGGGAGAGGCCGCUUUCAAGACCCGGCUGAGUGCAGCUUCCUUCAGGGAGGGACCCUCGGGAGCUUACCCUGCCUGUUCCUAGACCUUGCAGCGCCAGAGUGCUUAGUCUCCAAGGCUGGCUGAGACAGCCCAAGAGGGAAGCUGGGUGGCCCUCAGGACUCACGCCAGAGCGACAUCACCAGCCAGCCCACUCUGCACUCAGCCUGGACCCUUGGGAACUCCUGUGAUCCCGGGAGGGUCCACUGUGACUGGUGUUCUCAGCCUACAAAAGAAGAGGGGACAACGCCUGUACCAAGAGCCACACAGCGGGUGACCCUGCAGACACCUAGUGCACAGACCUGGGGGCGCUAUAGGCCUGCCACACUGGAACUGUCGCAGUGGCGUGUUCGAGGGGUCAAGCAGACGAGAGAGUGCAGAUUGAGGAGACUGUGGGGUCUUUCCCAGGGGCCAGAGGGUCAGGACCACCACUACCCAAAAAGAAAAAACAUCCUGGGACUUCCUUUGCUUUUCUUUUUUGGGGUGAGGGGGUGGGAGAUGAGAAAAGUUCUUUUUUGUUUUAAAGUUUUGUUUAUCUAUUUAUUUGCAACAUGGCUUUGCUGUAUACUCCAGACUGGCCCUGACCUCAGGGUGACCCUCCUGCCUCAGCCUCCUAUGCAGGAGUGGUGGAAUCAUAGACAAGCACCAGAACAAUGUGCUCUCUCGAUGUCCUCUGUUCACAGUUUCCUCCAAAACACGGGGGUUCUGAAUGUGUGUCCGUGGAUGUGGGCCCCAGAAACUAAAGAGGGCGAGCACAGCUGUUAUCAGAAUCAAUCUUUUUUUUUUUGUACUGGAAAUCGAACUUAGGACCCUGUGCUUACUGGGCAAGUGCUGUGCCAUUAAGCUAAAUCUGUAGGCCCUCAGGGUCAAUCUACAGAUUCCCCACCCCACCCAGCUCAGAAGCCACCACCCUGGUGCCUUUUAUCACAUGGAGGGAGGGGACCCUGCGGGGGAGGGAAUGGGGCCACCUCCCUGGGUUGUUCCCCUGCCCCAGGGCCCAAGGCCCACAGCCUCUGCACCUGGUCCUCAGGGAGGUACAACCCAGCUGGGCCACUCAGUCUCGGCAGCACGGAGGCAUUCUAGGGGCUGUGGGGAGUCCCCGCAGUCUCCGAGAUGCUCAGCUGUCAGGGACGGGAGCCCCUGUGACAAUUAUGUUAUUCUCAGGACACAAGAGAUGAGUACAGUGAUUUCCAUAGCCCCCGUGAGGAGCUGGAUUUAGGAUUUUUGAGGGGAGCUGUCACUUUUUGAGGAGCUAUACUUAGAAUGUGCCAGAAACCCAACCUCCACCCCCAGCCCUUUUUGCUUUUUGGUUUUGAAACAAGGUCUUGCUAAGUUGCCUGAGCUGGCCUCAGACUCACAAUCCUCCGCUGUGCCCGGCAUGUUGUGACAUUUCUAAACAAGCUGAAUCUCUGUGUUCACCUUCCUUUGCAGUGUGGUUUUCUGAGGGGAGACUGGGUCCGUGCUGGGCAGCCGGACAGCGAGGGUCCCCUGGGGAACGAUGCACCUCUGACCCUCGGAUGGCACUGGUGACUUCUGCCCUCCAUGUGCUGCCGGCCACGGAUCGGGACCCCAGAGGCACAGCCCCACUUUGUCCUGUGCACCCCACCCCGUUAGCUCUGAUUACCACCGCUCUGUGAGCUGCUGCUGGGUAGAAGAUUCUCUUCCUCCCUUUGAAUUUUGCCCCUUUCUGUCAAAGGGAGGCAAAUGGGCACCAGCGGCAGGGCUGAAAGGUGAGGGUGGGAUCUGAGCCAGUUGGGCCCAGUCCAAGGCGCUCCCCUUUUUAAUUAAGUGUGGACUUGAGUUAUGAGGGGCCGAGGCUCCCGCAGGGCAGGGAGGUGAUUUCUCCCCGGGAAGUUCCACUUAGUGGCUCCUCUGCCUGUGUCUGUAUUUGUUCUUCUUUGCCAUAAAGGGCAGCGGGGUAGGGGGACCCCAGCUCGCCAGGGCGGGGCAGGGCUGGCCGGAGCCUGGAGAUCUGAACCUCCUGGACUCCCCUUUGGGGGAAUAGGGCAGCUUUGGCUUUAUUUCUCCUCCCACAAACAAAACCUCUUUCUAUUUCUUUUUUCCUUUUGCACUGAGCCAGGUCCUCAGCCCUUUAUUUAGUUUUUGCUUUGGGCAGGAUCUUGCUAAGCCAAGAAGUUUAGCAGGCUGGGUUGGAACUUGGUGCCCUCCUGCUCAGCCUCCUGGAAUGGUGGUGCCUGGGUAAAACCUCUUUCUUCCAUCCCGGUGACCCCUGGCUUGCAGCUGUGGCCAGAGCUGCUCUCUGGGCUCUCACCCACCCUGAGGUGACCCUGGCCAGUGAGUACGCCGCAGUGGUUGGUUCACAACCCGGGGUCACAGCUGAGCCCCGUCCUGAGUAAGGGUUCUGCUCUCCACCACUGUGGGGACCUGGUGGCCACAUGCUGAAAGACCCCUAACCAGAUGGGACCCCACGUUCUGCUCUGUUUUGAGACUAGGUCUCACUGUGCAGUUCAGGCUGAGCUGGAACUCACGGUCAUCCUCCUGCCUCAGCUUCCUGAGUGCAAGGAUCACAGGUAUGAGCCAUGGGGUCUGGCUGGGACCCACACUGUGUGGUGUGCAUGGGGACCCCCACCUUUCUGGAAUCCACUUUGCUUACACACCUCUUCCAGAGCAGCACUUCGGGGGCCACUUGGGAGCUGAACACCCCAAAGUCCAGAGGGGGACUCACCCUGUGUCCUGAUGGGCAGAGAGGAAGCUGACCCUCCCCCAUCUCCACUACUUAAGGUGGCAGCUGCUGAGCUAACAAAGGCCUCAGUGAGUUGCUCUUUCUCCUCAGAUUUUCAUUUUUGUUUUUUAAAAUGUUAGUAUCCUCAUUACUGUUGUACACCUUGCUGUGGAGCCCAGGCUGACCUCAAAUUGGCAGUGAGCUUCCUGCCUCAGCCUCCUCAGUGCUGGAUCAUGUAUUAUUUCUGAAGAGCUGGGCUCUUGCUGUGCUGUCCUAGGCUGGCCUUGAACUCCUGGCCCAAGCUCAGUCUGACCAAGGGCAGGUGGGCGGGACUCCUGGUCCGCAGGUUGCUGGCUCUGCCAUGCUAGACACUGGAAGAUCUGCUGGGGUCCUGUGGUCAGCUCCUUAGGGGCCGCCCAAGUGACUCCCACAGAGGGAAAGCUGCUGGGGGGCUUUCUGCUCCCUAAAAAUUGAGCAUGUAAAGUACAUUUAAUUAAAAUGAUAA